GUAGGUGGCAAGCGUUGUCCGGAAUUAUUGGGCGUAAAGCGCGCGCAGGCGGUUCUUUAAGUCUGAUGUGAAAGCCCACGGGCUCAACCGUGGAGGGUCACUGGAAACUGGAGAACUUGAGUACAGAAGAGGAAAGCGGAAUUCCACGUGUAGCGGUGAAAUGCGUAGAGAUGUGGAGGAACACCAGUGGCGAAGGCGGCUUUCUGGUCUGUAACUGACGCUGAGGCGCGAAAGCGUGGGGAGCAAACAGGAUUAGAUACCCUGGUAGUCCACGCCGUAAACGAUGAGUGCUAAGUGUUAGGGGGGUUUCCGCCCCUUAGUGCUGCGGCUAACGCAUUAAGCACUCCGCCUGGGGAGUACGGCCGCAAAGGCUG
rnacentral:rRNA from 1 species